rnacentral:lncRNA from 1 species
CCCUGCAGGGUUAAAAUCUUUCAGAAAACCAUGCCCGCGGUUAUGUGGCAACUUGAAAACAUUGUUUAACAUACGGUUCUAGAUACUUUGAAGUAAACUUAACUAAAACAUGCCAACUGUGUGCGUAACCAUGAUUGUCUCUUUCACGAGCUCCUUCUUCGAUUGAGGACACGAUGGGUUUAUGACUCACGUAACUAGGUGUUCAGGAUCACUUAGUGAUCAUUAUGUAGUUCUGACUGUCAUGCAUAGACCACUCACUCUACUUCCUGUUCUCGUAAGUUAGCCACCAUAUAUGCUUAGUGCUGCUGCAGCCUAAACACUAAACCUUCCACACCCGAUAACUUGAUUAGUUCCGGUAUCAUGGUCGCAAGAUUGGUGAGUCCCUAUGGCUCAAAAAUUACUACAACACCACAGGUCCAGGUACCGCAGAUCUGGAGGCGUUUGAUGGUACACAACUUCAAUGGGAGUUCGAUGAAGGCAGUGGUUGCAUGUACGUGACGUACCCCGACGAUUAGAGGACCAUGGUCGUCUCCUGGGCUAGCGAGACAGAUC